UCGGCGCAUUAACAUAUCCGUUGCCCAGCGGGCGGACAUUAAGAAUUGUAGCAGCGGCGGCGGUGCUAUACGAAAGUGCUAUUCUAUAUAUACACCACUGCGUAUACGUACUGUAAAUUCAAACGAGUUUAAGUAAUUAAAACGAAUAUUGGUGAAAUCUGCUUUAAAGUGCAACCGAUUGCAGUAUCGGUUUUAAAUUGAA